AUGACAUCACCUUUAUUCUCCUCUCAUACACUCAUUUUACUCAGCAAAAACGCAGCAAAAGCAUGGCCAUACACACAUGAAGCACACCAUCAGAACUCACUUUUUUUAUUAGAAGAAGAGCAGUGGACUCUUGUUCCACUUGAAGAUGGGUAUGUGGCGGAAUCUAAUUGGUUGGGGCAUUGCUUUUGUUUUAUUCAACUUAAAUGGGAAGGUGACCGAUUGAUAUCAUAUGUGACAUAG